rnacentral:rRNA from 1 species
UACAGAGGUGGCAAGCGUUGUUCGGAAUUACUGGGCGUAAAGGGCGCGUAGGCGGCCUACUAAGUCAGACGUGAAAUCCCCCGGCUUAACCUGGGAACUGCGUCUGAUACUGGAAGGCUUGAGGAUGGGAGAGGGAUGUAGAAUUCCAGGUGUAGCGGUGAAAUGCGUAGAUAUCUGGAGGAAUACCGGUGGCGAAGGCGGCAUCCUGGACCGCAUGACGCUGAGGCGCGAAAGCCAGGGGAGCAAAGCGGG